AAAAAAAAAAAAAAGGUGUAAUAUAUAAAAACACAAAUGAUAAUGUGCGAAUAAUGAAUGAUUAUAGAGAAGAAUACGAUUUUAUCCAAAGAAUUCACAAAAUUGAAGGUAACAACAAUAACAACGAUUAUAAUACAGUAUAUUCAGAUGGAAACAGAAUAAAAAAAGAUGAUCCUUUAAUUGGAAGAGAUUUAUACGAAAAAGAUUUAUAUUUAAAAAGUCGGUAUGAUAAGUAUGAUAUUACACUUAACGGUUUCGAUAAGGAUGAUAAGGAUUUACAUUUGAAAAGAUUAAAAAAAGAAAAUGAGAAAGAAUUAAGAAGAAAAGAAUAUAAUUUAAAACGGAGUAAUAUUAAUGAAUUAGUUAAAAUAAAUGAAGUAGUAUAUUAUAUUCAUGCAAACAGAAAAAAUAUUUAUGAAUAUAUUAAUAAUCAAAGUGAUUUGGAUAAUAAUUAUUAUCAAAUAGAAGAAAAGCCAGUAAAUAUAACUAGUAAUAUGAUAAAAAAUAAUGAAGAAUAUGUUUAUUUAAAUGAUAAUGCAUAUUAUAAAUUAAAAAUAAAUAAGGAAGAUAAAGAUAUCGAAGAUGAUAAUAAUAUGAAUAAUUAUAAUAACAAAAUAAAAAUAAAAUAUACAUUGGAUGAAAAUUCGAGUAGUAUAAUUGAGAAAAUAAUUGAUUCGGAUAGUUAUUUAUUUCAUUUAUUACAUAUGUUUAUUUCUAUGAAAAAUGGUAUGAGUAAUGUUUUUUAUAUGUUAAGUAAAAUAUUUCAUUUUAAUUUUUUAGAUUAUGCAUAUAUAAAAAAUUACUCCUUAAAUGACUAUAUGAAUAUAAAUAUGAAAGAAUAUUUAAAAUGUUUAAAAAAAGAAGAAGAAUCGAAAAUGAUUACAAAUGAUUUUUUAUUAAGAAGACAAUAUAUGACUCCAUAUUUUGUUCAUAAUUGUGUAGAUUGUAAUUAUAAUACGAAUGAUAAUGGGAUUAUAAUAUUAUCUUCUAUAUUACCAUUUAUACAUAGUUUUGAUUAUGAUUAUAAAUUGAAAGAGAUAAGAAGAAAAGAAGAGGAAUUAGAAACUAUAUUAAAUAAUGAGAAAAGCAAAAAAAGUGGAGCAAUACGGGUAUUAGAAUAUAUGAAAAAAGCAAAAGGUUUUGUUACAAAUAAAAUAAUGUCGAAUAAUAAUAAUACUAGUAGUAAUACUUUUACUGUUAAUAGUAGUGGUGGUAUUAAUUCGGGUGAUAAUAUAAAUACGGAUGGUAAAAGUCGUAAUACUAGUAAUAGUAAUAAUCAUGAAUAUUCUGAAUUUUUACAAAAGUUUGAAAAUAGUAUAAAUGAAGAAGGGGAAUUAAUUCAAGAUAUUUUAUUUGCUGGUAAGGUACAAAUGAUAUUUAUUAAUUUUAAACAGUUAGAAAAUAAUUUUAACAAUGUGGUUGGUAAUAUGGAAAUAAAAAAUGACAAAGUACAAGUGAGUAAUUUAAUUUUAGGUUAUGAAAAAAGAGAACAUAUAAGAUAUACUGACAUUUUAAUAUCAAAUAUAUUAAAAAAUAUAAAAAAGAAAUAUCCUGAUAAUAUUAUUAAUGAUUGUAAUCCUAAACAAUUUUUAUAUGGUGACGAUAAUGAUGAUGACAGAUUGAAAAAGUAUUUACAUGAGAACAUUCCGUAUGGUGCCUCCUAUGGUACCCCCUAUGGUGCCCCUUAUGCAAAAAUAGUAGGUAAUGAGCCAUAUAACAGUAACAUUAACGACAACAUUAACGACAACAUCAACAUAAACAACAACAUAAACAACAACAUAAACAACAACAUAAACAAUAAUAAUACGAGUGGUAGGGAUAUUUUUAUAGAUGACAGGGGAAAUAUAAAUAAAAAAGAAAUAUAUAAAGACACGGAUUUUAAAGAAUAUAUAUAUAAUUCGCCAUUCCAUUUAAUGAAAGGUGGUAAUAACAAUAACAAUGAAUAUGUAACUUGUGUUUGUUUUGAUAAUAAUUCAAAUGAUUGUAAUUUAAUUAAUAAUUUUGUACUU
rnacentral:lncRNA from 1 species